UUGGAACUGAGACACGGUCCAAACUCCUACGGGAGGCAGCAGUGAGGAAUAUUGGUCAAUGGACGAGAGUCUGAACCAGCCAAGUAGCGUGAAGGAUGACUGCCCUAUGGGUUGUAAACUUCUUUUAUAUGGGAAUAAAACAGGGUAUGCAUACCCUCUUGUAUGUACCAUAUGAAUAAGGAUCGGCUAACUCCGUGCCAGCAGCCGCGGUAAUACGGAGGAUCCGAGCGUUAUCCGGAUUUAUUGGGUUUAAAGGGAGCGUAGGUGGAUUGUUAAGUCAGUUGUGAAAGUUUGCGGCUCAACCGUAAAAUUGCAGUUGAAACUGGCAGUCUUGAGUACAGUAGAGGUGGGCGGAAUUCGUGGUGUAGCGGUGAAAUGCUUAGAUAUCACGAAGAACUCCGAUUGCGAAGGCAGCUCACUGGACUGCAACUGACACUGAUGCUCGAAAGUGUGGGUAUCAAACAGGAUUAGAUACCCUGGUAGUCCACACAGUAAACGAUGAAUACUCGCUGUUUGCGAUAUACAGUAA
rnacentral:rRNA from 1 species